UAGAAAAUUGCAUUUACUGCUUGGUUGUAAUGAUGGUGCUUUCAAGAUCAAUGAGAGGAGGCCACCAUAAGGUUUAUGUCAGAGUAGGUGACAGGAGAAGGUGAAGACAGAAAAAGAAAAUAGAAGGGGAGAAUAUAUAUGGUAUCAUGCUAGUGCUUCGUAUAUUGGGGUGUUAUCUAAAGCUCGUAUGUAACCAAUGAUUUGAGUAAGGUUAGCAUCCAUGGGUCUUCUUGAUGCUCUUGCCAUCCGCUCUACAAUCUGGAAGUUGCCAAUAGUGCCACUAGAGCUAUUGCUGGAGAUGGUGCUGCAGGUGCCGUUUACUAUUUGCAGCUCCUGCAAUUUCCCUUGAUUAGUGGCGACGGAGGAAGCCACAAGAACCUUUUUCCCGUUAUUAUGUAAUCUUUGUUUUAGUUUUAGUUAUUAGGAAAUAAUUAAAGCAGCUUUUGCUGAUUGUAUAUUAUCCUUUCUUUUUGAAAAAAUUAUUCGUUAAUUAUUUACUAUAUAUAUAUAUUGAUAAAAUAAUUGUGCCAACUAGCUUUCCAACAUGAGCUGGAUUUUUUUUUUAAUUG